UCAAAGUAUAGCUAAAUAGUGUAGCAUUUCAGUUACGUUGAAAAGAAUUAUCGUGCAAGUCGAUUUGCUUUGAA
rnacentral:tRNA from 1 species